GAAAUUCAUAAAAACAAGUUUAGCUUUCUUUUGCUUUUAUAAACCAACAUUCUAGCUUGGUAGUUAACUAGCUAGCUAACUUAUAUGGUGAAGCUAGGGCUAGGCAUUCUUGAUAAUUCUUGUGAAUGUUUGAUAUAUAACGCAUGCUCCACUCUCAAGUUGAAGUUGAACUUGUUGACUGAUGCCAUGGCGGCGACUGCUAAGAAGGGAGCAGCUGCGAACCAGAAGACUGCAGCCAUGGCAGCACUGGUCCACACCUGCCCUGUGUCAGAUGCAGACCAGAAGACAUUCAAGCAGCACUUUGAGAACACACGAUUACCACGAUUUGAAUGCUGCAACAGACGGAAUAACGUCAAGGGACACUCCUGGACCCCGAGUAUGACUGGACAUGGGCCGGAUAUUGACUGGACAUGGGCCGGAUAUUUGUGACAUCGACCUAAAAGGGGUGCAGAAGCACACCAGCACCCUAUUUUAUUUUUAUUCCAUAAUCAACCAUCUCUCUAGCUGCCUCUUAUUCCACACUAUGCCUCUUAUGCCCUAUGGUCCCUCAACUUCAGACACUAUAAACCUCUAUAAACCUACCCUAUCUUUACCCAUUUUGCCUAUGCUGCUUCCUUCACUUGUUCUUCUCCUGAUUUGAUAACAUCUAGACUCACUAACAAUUUUAAGUGUUGUGGUGUACUGUUUUUGCUACCUUUUUCUCACCUGUGUAACGAUGUCCUGCUUAUUCUGGGGUUCAGACUGAAUGCAGUGGUAAAUGUGCUGCUCACAAUUGACAGCAGCAACAUGGACCUGUUAAAUUGACCAGAAGGGUGUUGAUAUAGCUGCUUUUAGGCAUGGCUUCCUUGUUUUGAGUCUGUUAAAUGUGUUUCUCAUUCUGCUGGAGUUGACCUAGUAUUUUAUAUUAAACCUACCUCACGCAUACAGUUUUUCCAUUUGUAACUCGCCCAUCAAAAACACAAUAUGAUGUUUUACAUGUUGUGUUAUUUGUGCUGGUCUAAUUCCUAAAAUGGAAAAGCAGAAGAAUCUGUGCGCUAUUGGAUAGUAAUAACAGUUCAUAUGGUGCUCAUCAAUGUCACAGGUUUGUGGCAUUGAUUAAUAAAUAAUUGAAUGAAUACUUAAAUUUAGAUGUUUAUAUGUUAUGUAUAAAAGGCAUAUGAAUGCAUUGUUUACCAUUUUGAUUUCUUUAAAACAAUGUAAUUGUUGGAGUGCAGGUGUUUGACUUGAUUGAUGGGUGACUAGGUGCAUUCUUGUCAAAUAAAUAUGCUUAAUUAAUUAAUUCAUGAUUAUGGAUACAUUCUGCAAUGAGUUAAUCUGGCAUUGAAUCUGCAACAGAACAUGUCAACAAGUUAGUUCUGAAUUGCUUUAAUACAGUGGGGUGUUCUGACACAAUGAAUUGAAAUAGAUUUCACCUGGUUCAUAUAGUUGCCAGAAAUUAUAAGGGAUUAAAUAAAGACCUCCACCGGCUAAAGGAGAAGAGGAUCUGGUAAAACA
rnacentral:lncRNA from 1 species